AGCGUACACGGUGGAUGCCCUGGCAGUCAGAGGCGAUGAAGGACGUGCUAAUCUGCGAUAAGCGUCGGUAAGGUGAUAUGAACCGUUAUAACCGGCGAUUUCCGAAUGGGGAAACCCAGUGUGUUUCGACACACUAUCAUUAACUGAAUCCAUAGGUUAAUGAGGCGAACCGGGGGAACUGAAACAUCUAAGUACCCCGAGGAAAAGAAAUCAACCGAGAUUCCCCCAGUAGCGGCGAGCGAACGGGGAGCAGCCCAGAGCCUGAAUCAGUGUGUGUGUUAGUGGAAGCGUCUGGAAAGGCGCGCGAUACAGGGUGACAGCCCCGUACACAAAAAUGCACAUGCUGUGAGCUCGAUGAGUAGGGCGGGACACGUGGUAUCCUGUCUGAAUAUGGGGGGACCAUCCUCCAAGGCUAAAUACUCCUGACUGACCGAUAGUGAACCAGUACCGUGAGGGAAAGGCGAAAAGAACCCCGGCGAGGGGAGUGAAAAAGAACCUGAAACCGUGUACGUACAAGCAGUGGGAGCACGCUUAGGCGUGUGACUGCGUACCUUUUGUAUAAUGGGUCAGCGACUUAUAUUCUGUAGCAAGGUUAACCGAAUAGGGGAGCCGAAGGGAAACCGAGUCUUAACUGGGCGUUAAGUUGCAGGGUAUAGACCCGAAACCCGGUGAUCUAGCCAUGGGCAGGUUGAAGGUUGGGUAACACUAACUGGAGGACCGAACCGACUAAUGUUGAAAAAUUAGCGGAUGACUUGUGGCUGGGGGUGAAAGGCCAAUCAAACCGGGAGAUAGCUGGUUCUCCCCGAAAGCUAUUUAGGUAGCGCCUCGUGAAUUCAUCUCCGGGGGUAGAGCACUGUUUCGGCAAGGGGGUCAUCCCGACUUACCAACCCGAUGCAAACUGCGAAUACCGGAGAAUGUUAUCACGGGAGACACACGGCGGGUGCUAACGUCCGUCGUGAAGAGGGAAACAACCCAGACCGCCAGCUAAGGUCCCAAAGUCAUGGUUAAGUGGGAAACGAUGUGGGAAGGCCCAGACAGCCAGGAUGUUGGCUUAGAAGCAGCCAUCAUUUAAAGAAAGCGUAAUAGCUCACUGGUCGAGUCGGCCUGCGCGGAAGAUGUAACGGGGCUAAACCAUGCACCGAAGCUGCGGCAGCGACGCUGAUGCGUUGUUGGGUAGGGGAGCGUUCUGUAAGCCUGCGAAGGUGUGCUGUGAGGCAUGCUGGAGGUAUCAGAAGUGCGAAUGCUGACAUAAGUAACGAUAAAGCGGGUGAAAAGCCCGCUCGCCGGAAGACCAAGGGUUCCUGUCCAACGUUAAUCGGGGCAGGGUGAGUCGACCCCUAAGGCGAGGCCGAAAGGCGUAGUCGAUGGGAAACAGGUUAAUAUUCCUGUACUUGGUGUUACUGCGAAGGGGGGACGGAGAAGGCUAUGUUGGCCGGGCGACGGUUGUCCCGGUUUAAGCGUGUAGGCUGGUUUUCCAGGCAAAUCCGGAAAAUCAAGGCUGAGGCGUGAUGACGAGGCACUACGGUGCUGAAGCAACAAAUGCCCUGCUUCCAGGAAAAGCCUCUAAGCAUCAGGUAACAUCAAAUCGUACCCCAAACCGACACAGGUGGUCAGGUAGAGAAUACCAAGGCGCUUGAGAGAACUCGGGUGAAGGAACUAGGCAAAAUGGUGCCGUAACUUCGGGAGAAGGCACGCUGAUAUGUAGGUGAAGUCCCUCGCGGAUGGAGCUGAAAUCAGUCGAAGAUACCAGCUGGCUGCAACUGUUUAUUAAAAACACAGCACUGUGCAAACACGAAAGUGGACGUAUACGGUGUGACGCCUGCCCGGUGCCGGAAGGUUAAUUGAUGGGGUCAGCGCAAGCGAAGCUCUUGAUCGAAGCCCCGGUAAACGGCGGCCGUAACUAUAACGGUCCUAAGGUAGCGAAAUUCCUUGUCGGGUAAGUUCCGACCUGCACGAAUGGCGUAAUGAUGGCCAGGCUGUCUCCACCCGAGACUCAGUGAAAUUGAACUCGCUGUGAAGAUGCAGUGUACCCGCGGCAAGACGGAAAGACCCCGUGAACCUUUACUAUAGCUUGACACUGAACAUUGAGCCUUGAUGUGUAGGAUAGGUGGGAGGCUUGGAAGUGUGGACGCCAGUCUGCAUGGAGCCGACCUUGAAAUACCACCCUUUAAUGUUUGAUGUUCUAACGUUGACCCGUAAUCCGGGUUGCGGACAGUGUCUGGUGGGUAGUUUGACUGGGGCGGUCUCCUCCUAAAGAGUAACGGAGGAGCACGAAGGUUGGCUAAUCCUGGUCGGACAUCAGGAGGUUAGUGCAAUGGCAUAAGCCAGCUUGACUGCGAGCGUGACGGCGCGAGCAGGUGCGAAAGCAGGUCAUAGUGAUCCGGUGGUUCUGAAUGGAAGGGCCAUCGCUCAACGGAUAAAAGGUACUCCGGGGAUAACAGGCUGAUACCGCCCAAGAGUUCAUAUCGACGGCGGUGUUUGGCACCUCGAUGUCGGCUCAUCACAUCCUGGGGCUGAAGUAGGUCCCAAGGGUAUGGCUGUUCGCCAUUUAAAGUGGUACGCGAGCUGGGUUUAGAACGUCGUGAGACAGUUCGGUCCCUAUCUGCCGUGGGCGCUGGAGAACUGAGGGGGGCUGCUCCUAGUACGAGAGGACCGGAGUGGACGCAUCACUGGUGUUCGGGUUGUCAUGCCAAUGGCACUGCCCGGUAGCUAAAUGCGGAAGAGAUAAGUGCUGAAAGCAUCUAAGCACGAAACUUGCCCCGAGAUGAGUUCUCCCUGACUCCUUGA
rnacentral:rRNA from 1 species